UACGGAGGAUGCGAGCGUUAUCCGGAUUUAUUGGGUUUAAAGGGUGCGCAGGCGGUCUGUUAAGUCAGCGGUGAGAGUCUGUGGCUCAACCAUAGAAUUGCCGUUGAAACUGGGGGGCUUGAGUAUGUUUGAGGCAGGCGGAAUGCGUGGUGUAGCGGUGAAAUGCAUAGAUAUCACGCAGAACCCCGAUUGCGAAGGCAGCAUGCCGGCUCCACACUGACGCUGAGGUACGAAAGCGUGGGUAUCGAACAGG
rnacentral:rRNA from 1 species